rnacentral:rRNA from 1 species
UACGUAGGGAGCAAGCGUUGUCCGGAAUCAUUGGGCGUAAAGCGCGCGUAGGUGGCCUCAUAAGUCCGCUGUGAAAGUCACAGGCUCAACCUGCGAAUGCCGCUGGAAACUGUCUGGCUAGAGUCCGGGAGGGGCGAGUGGAAUUCCUGGUGUAGCGGUGAAAUGCGCAGAUAUCAGGAGGAACACCAAUGGCGAAGGCAGCUCGCUGGGACGUGACUGACGCUGAGACGCGAAAGCGUGGGGAGCAAACAGG